AUUUCCUGCAUGGCAGAAUGGGGUUGGACUGGAUGGCCUUUGUGGUCUCUUCCAACUGUACGAUUCUAUGAUUCUAAAUUAAUCACAAUGAAAGAAUAAAACAGAUUAAAAAGACAAUUCAGAAUGCAUACAUAUAUGGAGGUACAGCAAUUGCUUGCUUAAAAGAUGCUUCUGCAGCAAUCCAGGUUAAUUGCAAAAGGCUUGGCUCAUUUGUUUGUUUGUUUGUUUGUUUGUUGCUUCUUAGUACAAAACACUUCCCUGGUCUUUGACCUGUAUUCAUCUGGCGAUGGAACCUUGUCUGAGAAUGGAAUGAUGAGGCAUACUUAGGAGUCCAGCGCCUUUCUUGCCAGAAAGAAGAGAAAAAAUGAAUGGAGGGACUAUGCAUGCAGAUUUAUUCACAGCACAAACAGUCAUAGACCAGCACAAGGAGAAUUGCUACAGGUACACGCAGACAGGGAAAGACAAAUCCUACUGCUUUGACUGCACAGACAAGAGGACAACUGCAGGUAAUUUGAUAUAAAUUAUUAAAGACAGAUGUUACUGGGUGUGUUUGUGUGGACUGGAGUGGAGACCAAUGGGGACUUCAGCACAGAGCAAAUCAUAUUCCUCAAGGAAGCAUCAAGAGGACCUUAAAAG